GUGGGGAAUAUUGCACAAUGGGGGAAACCCUGAUGCAGCGACGCCGCGUGAGCGAAGAAGUAUUUCGGUAUGUAAAGCUCUAUCAGCAGGGAAGAAAAUGACGGUACCUGACUAAGAAGCCCCGGCUAACUACGUGCCAGCAGCCGCGGUAAUACGUAGGGGGCAAGCGUUAUCCGGAUUUACUGGGUGUAAAGGGAGCGUAGACGGCUCUGCAAGUCUGGAGUGAAAACCCGGGGCUCAACCCUGGGACUGCUUUGGAAACUGUGGAGCUUGAGUACCGGAGGGGUAAGCGGAAUUCCUAGUGUAGCGGUGAAAUGCGUAGAUAUUAGGAGGAACACCAGUGGCGAAGGCGGCUUACUGGACGGUAACUGACGUUGAGGCUCGAAAGCGUGGGGAGCAAACAGGAUUAGAAACCCUUGUAGUCC
rnacentral:rRNA from 1 species